AGUGAACGCUGGCGGUAGGCCUAACACAUGCAAGUCGAACGGCAGCACAGUAAGAGCUUGCUCUUACGGGUGGCGAGUGGCGGACGGGUGAGGAAUACAUCGGAAUCUACUUUUUCGUGGGGGAUAACGUAGGGAAACUUACGCUAAUACCGCAUACGACCUACGGGUGAAAGCAGGGGAUCUUCGGACCUUGCGCGAUUGAAUGAGCCGAUGUCGGAUUAGCUAGUUGGCGGGGUAAAGGCCCACCAAGGCGACGAUCCGUAGCUAGUCUGAGAGGAUGAUCAGCCACACUGGAACUGAGACACGGUCCAGACUCCUACGGGAGGCAGCAGUGGGGAAUAUUGGACAAUGGGCGCAAGCCUGAUCCAGCCAUACCGCGUGGGUGAAGAAGGCCUUCGGGUUGUAAGGCCCUUUUGUUGGGAAAGAAAAGCAGCAGGUUAAUACCCCGCUGUUCUGACGGUACCCAAAGAAUAAGCACCGGCUAACUUCGUG
rnacentral:rRNA from 1 species